CCUACGGGUGGCAGCAGUGAGGAAUAUUGGUCAAUGGCCGGAAGCCUGAACCAGCCAAGUAGCGUGCAGGAUGACGGCCCUACGGGUUGUAAACUGCUUUUAUACGGGAAUAACGCGCCUUUCGUGUCGUGCUUUGCAUGUACCGUAUGAAAAAGCACCGGCUAAAUCCGUGCCAGCAGCCGCGGUAAUACGGAGGGUCCGGGCGUUAUCCGGAUUUAUUGGGUUUAAAGGGUGCGUAGGCCGGAGGACAAGCCUGCUGUGAAAUGUCCGGGCUCAACCCGGGCCUUGCAGCGCAAACUGGCUUGCGUGAGUGCGCGGAGGGCAGGCGGAAUUCGUCGUGUAGCGGUGAAAUGCUUAGAUAUGACGAAGAACCCCGAUUGCGAAGGCAGCUUGCUGCAGCGGAACUGACGCUGAUGCUCGAAAGCGCGGGUAUCGAACAGGAGUAGAUACCCUUGUAGUC
rnacentral:rRNA from 1 species